rnacentral:lncRNA from 1 species
GAGUAUUUAAUUAGGCCCAAUGUACAGCCCAUUUAUGUAAGCGCACCCAAUAUUCCAUGGAAUCCCUUUAUAUAAAGGCGGUCUUUAAUUUUUAUUCUUGAUCUUUAAUUUUUGUCCUUAAUAAUGAAAAUUUGAGGGUUAAAUUACUCUUGACUAUGACAUAAUUUUUUAAGGCAAAAAUUUGGAGAAGUUUUCAUCUAAAUACAAGGCAGUUGAAUACCCGUCACCUUGUAUAUAUCUCAAUCUAACGACAUAAGACGCCUUUUAAGAAAUCUCUUGCACUUGUCACUGGACUAAUCUCUCUUGCAUCACGUUUCCUUCAGGCAAUAUUGUGUAAUACACAAAGCAAGCAAUAGUGGUAAUACACAAAGCAGCUGAGUUAUUGUUCUUUGAUUAUUGUUUUCUAUGAUAGUAGAAGAAUGGUUCAUCCUUCCGUUAAGAAGACAGUAAACGCGAAGGUUUGGAUUGAAGAUCUUCACGAGACAGUCUGAGAUAUCAUAGAAUGUCGAAAAUAAU